rnacentral:tRNA from 1 species
GAGGAUAUAGCUCAAUGUAGAGUGCAUGCCUAGCAUGCCAUGCAUGAGGUCCUGGGUUCAAUUCCCAGUAUCUCCA